UACGGAGGAUCCAAGCGUUAUCCGGAUUUAUUGGGUUUAAAGGGUGCGUAGGCGGCUUUUUAAGUCAGGGGUGAAAGACGGUAGCUCAACUAUCGCAGUGCCCUUGAUACUGAAGAGCUUGAAUGGACUAGAGGUAGGCGGAAUGUGACAAGUAGCGGUGAAAUGCAUAGAUAUGUCACAGAACACCGAUUGCGAAGGCAGCUUACUAUGGUUUUAUUGACGCUGGGGCACGAAAGCGUGGGGAUCAAACAGG
rnacentral:rRNA from 1 species